UACGGGGGGGGCAAGCGUUGUUCGGAAUUACUGGGCGUAAAGGGCUCGUAGGUGGCCAACUAAGUCGGACGUGAAAUCCCUCGGCUUAACCGGGGAACUGCGUCCGAUACUGGUUGGCUUGAGUUUGGGAGAGGGAUGCGGAAUUCCAGGUGUAGCGGUGAAAUGCGUAGAUAUCAGGAGGAACACCGGUGGCGAAGGCGGCUUCCUGGACAUUGACUGACGCUGAGACGCGAAAGCGUGGGGAGCAAACAGG
rnacentral:rRNA from 1 species